CUUGUUGAUUUGGUGGUCAGCCAAUCAUCUUUGUGUGUCGUUUGGUGGUUAACCAACACACUACAUUUGUUCUUAGGUGGUUAGCCUUAGAUCGUGGGUAUAUCAAGAGCCAUUCCGCAUCUCUUGACGAUCCUUUCAAUCCAUCUCAGUUCCAGAAGUGCCGUUUGCCUUCUCGGAUCAUAUCCAACACCCAGCUAAAGUGAUCCUCCCUAUCUUAGGGUUCUAUCAGUUGGUAUCAGAGCCACUUUGGCUGGUUUGUUUUCAUUUCAUCUUUUCAUCUUCUCAUCUCUCCACGAUUUUAUUUUCUUAUUUCUUGUUGGAUCCGGGCUGUUCCUUUACUCCCUUGUGAUCGCCAGUUAUUAAAAAAAAAAAAGAGAAAAAAAAAUUGAUCAAAAAAAAAAAAAGAGUGAAAGUUUUGGCUUGAAUCACUUCUGAAGAGAAAUCCAGGGGGAGUGGUGGAAGAGAAACCCUGCUGGCUGAAGAGAAACCCAGCCUUAGGACAGUUAAGGCGGAUCCACACAAAAAUCUCUUCAUUGUUCUUUCUCUUUUCUUUUCUCACAAAGUUUGUUUUGGGUUUUGACUGCUGAUUUUUUACUGCCUAUCAUCCUUUGAACCAGUGAAAGAACUCUGAGUGACCAUCUAAAAAUCGUGAGCUAAACACUUGAGAGUGUGAGGAUUUUUAUUUGCUAACUUUGUUAAGUGUUUUCAGGAUGUUUGGACUUCUCAAGAAAUCAAAACCACAACAAGACGUCUACUUUCCUUUUAAAACUGUUUUCAAAAAGGAGCAAUUGAUUUUUGAUAAGAAACAGUUUGCUUCUAAUGGGUUUGACUUUGUGCAGAAACAAAAGAAGAGACAAAACAGGUGCGAUGAUGAGAAGUGGGUCAGAAGUGGUGAUCGUCCCUUCACCAAAGCCAAGAGAAGCAACUGUGAUGUGCCUGAUCAGAACGAGCUUCAGACUUAUGCCAGCUUGGAAAAGAUGUUGCAUAAAGCGAUUCAUGUUGUCCGACAACUCAAAAAGAAGGGAAACAACAACACUUCUUCUGCACCAAAACAUCAAAGUAAUUUUUCUUCUCUUUCAAAUUCUGAUUUGAAAACUAAUGUGUUGUCUUCUGAUAAAAGCAAAGCUGUGAAACCCACAAGCAAAGCUCAUUCUACCAGGUGCUUCAAAUGCCAUAGGAUUGGUCAUUAUGCUAACAAGUGCCAAAACCAGAAACCAUUGGUGACUUUGGAGAAUGAGAACGUUGAAACCGAGCCAGAAAAGGAAGAUCCAUUGCCAAUUUUCGAUGACUUCACAUAUGAUCCAAUGGAGGGGUUAGAUGAAAAAAAAAUUCUUGGUCAUCAAGCAAACCAAGAAAGAUCUUCUUCCAUUCAAAAACCGGACCAAACUCAAGGUGAGCAAUAUUCUGAUUAUGGUUCUUUUGCUUAUAAUCCUUUUCCUUUUAAUGUUUCAGAUUUGAGGACAAAUCUUUUUGAAGAGGAAGGGAAUGAUGUGCCGCAGUCCACGGAUCAUUACAUGGAACCAGCUCAGCAUGGAGUUCAAGACGUUCUGAACAUUUCAACCGAAGUUCAUGUUUUUCACCGUACCAGACUUGACUUGGGUCGAGCCAGACUUAGCUUGGAUGGUGAAGAAACCAAAGACGGACAUGCAUUCUUAUCCGGCGGACCAUCCGGACAGUCCCGCAAGCGUCCUUAUCUUUACCCCGUGCAUCCAUAUGGUUCGGAUGAAUCUGGACAUCUUGACUGGUCUUCUCCAUUUUCCGUGCCUUGACCAGAUCUAGUCUUCUCCAUUUUCCGUGCCUUGACUAGAUCUAGUCAAAUUUAUAUUUUUAUGCAUUGUUUUCCCACAUUUCUUUAAUUGUCUUUGACUACAAAACACUAUAAAUAUGUAGUCCCUUUGAUGAAUAAAAUCAGUUCAUUUGGUUGUUUAUUUCGUUUCUUCUCUGAGUGAGAGAGAGAGAGUUCUUAGCUAGUUCAUCGGUUUGAACCGGCUUGUUGAUUUGGUGGUCAGCCAAUCAUCUUUGUGUGUCGUUUGGUGGUUAGCCAACACACUACAUUCGUUCUUAGGUGGUUAGCCUUAGAUCGUGGGUAUAUCAAGAGCCAUUCCGCAUCUCUUGACGAUCCUUUCAAUCCAUCUCAGUUCCAGAAGCGCCAUUUGCUUCUCGGUUCAUAUCCAACACCCAGCUAAAGUGAUCCUUCCCGAUUUUGGUUCUAUCAGGAAGGGCCAGUGUGCUGAGUCCAAGGACCAACGUGCUGAUAUGUGUACUGAUGGACAGCCACAGACGUCUUGUGUGUGCUGACGGACACAGACGGAUACACACGGACACACACGGAAAGCCACAGACGUCCUGUGUGUGCUGGCGGACACCCACAGACGUCCUGUGUGUGCUGGCGGACACCCACGGACGUCCUGUGUGUACUGAACAGACAGCCCACGUGGGCCAAAAUCACCCGAACAGUUCACGGGAAGGGUCAGCGUGCGGAAUCCAAGGACCAACGUGCUGAUAUGUGUACUGAUGGACAGCCAUUGACGUCCUGUUUGCUGACGGACAGACACGGACACACACGGACAGCCACGAACGUGCUGUGUGUGCUGACGGACACACACGGACAGCUACGGACGUCCUGUGUGUGCUGACGGACAGCCACAGGACAGCCACGGACGUCCUGUGUGUGCUGGCGGAUACCCACGGACGUCCUGUGUGUACUGAACAGACAGCCCACGUGGGCCAAAAUCACCCGAACAGUCCACAGGAAGGGUCAGCGUGCUGAGUCCAAGGACCAACGUGCUGAUAUGUGUAAUGAUUGACAGCCACGGACGUCCUGUGUCUGCUGACGGACGCACUCGGACACACACGAACAGCCACAGACGUCCUGUGUGUGCUGGCGGACACCCACAGACGUCCUGUAUGUACUGAACAGACAGCCCACGUGGGCCAAAAUCACACAAACAGUCCACGGGAAGGGCCAGUGUGCUGAGUCCAAGGAACAACGUGCUGAUAUGUGUACUGAUGGACAGCCACAGACGUCUUGUGUGUGCUGACGGACACAGACGGACACACACGGAAAGCCACAGAUGUCCUGUGUGUGCUGGCGGACACCCACGGACGUCCUGUGUGUGCUGGUGGACACCCACGGACGUCCUGUGUGAUAGAACCCAGGACCUGGACCAGGGCGUGGAGCAGACUCAGCAUGGUGACCAGGACGAUCAGAUCAGUCCAACUGAGGUUCAGCCAUUUAGCCGUUCCAGAUCAACGGACAGAGCCGUGUACCGGAUCGACCCGCGUGCACCCGGACGUGACCUAAGGAUGGAUCCACGACCUGUUGACCAAAUCAGCCAAACCACAGGCGUUCUUCCCCGACCCAUUCGCCAUUCUAGAGCCAACAGUCAAGCCAGAACCCAUGAUCAUCGAGAAGAAUCAGAUUCCAGACUUAGCCUGUCUUUCCUGGCCCGUUUGGGACGUACCGCACGCCCGGAUCAGGCUGAUCACGACCUUUCCAACCACUUUGAUGAUUUCAUGAUGAUCAAUGCUUCCAACUACUCCAAAGGAAGGAUACUUAAGCUCUCUGAAGAUUUGGGUCGAGCUAUCUCUUCAUCCGUUCAUGGAUCAUCGACGAUCAAUCAUGCGGGCAGCCUUACGUCCGUCCUGCUCCUUACCGCGAACGACCUAAUCACCAGAGGAUGAACCUGGACGUCUUUGUGAAUCUGGACCAGUCAACACAAGAAUCCGCACCUUGACCAGUCUUUAGUCAAAGUCUUCAUUUCUAAUUUCUAUGUCUUGUUUUCAUUCAUCUAUUUUCUAUGUUGUCUUUUCCCACAAAUGUCUUUAUGUUUCUUUGACUCACAAACCUUAUAAGUAUGUGAUGAUCCCCUUAAUAAAAACACAUCGAUUUUCCUUGCUUAUUUUGAGUCUUCUCUCAUUGUUCUUUGCUUAGAACAUUCAUACUUCUCUUGGUGAGGUCAUCUCCAAGCGAACCACUUCGUUGUGUUGGACCGGUGCGUCACAUCCGGCAACCUUCGAAUCUUUGGUAGUAUCUUUGGGCUAUUCCGCAACCCUUAGUGUCACCGUUCAUACCAUCAGUUCUCUUUCCUUACGGAUCGAGUUCAUAUCCCCCUUACCGGUUGAGUGUUCGUUCCUUAGGGUUCUUCAAGUGGUAUCAGAGCCACUCUUCCGGUAUUGUCUAUUUCAUUCAUCUUUCUCAUCUUCCAUUUUCUUAUAAAAACUUCUUCUUCUACCUUUCUUAAAUCCGGGCCCCUCAUUACCAUCCACCAUAUCAAAAAAAAAAAAAGAUCUAAUCAAAAAAAAAAAAAAAGAUCUACAUAAAAAAAAAAAAAAAAAAUCGAAAGUUUCAUUUGGGGAUUGGUGGUGGAAGAGAAAGCCUGCUGGCUGAGGAGAAAUCCAGCCUUUGAGGUGGUUAAAACGGAUUUCAAAAAUCAAAAUCUCUUAUCUUUCUAUCUUGAGAAAAUUCCCUUGUUUGCUUGGAUUUGCCUAUUGGGAUUCUUUGAUUUGUUCUCUUAGAACAUUGAGUAGAAACUUGUGUGUGAUCACCUAAAUCUGAGAGAAACACUUGAGUGGGUGAGAAUAAAACACUUGAGAGAGUGAGGCUUUAUUUCCUAACUUUUGUGUUGAGAUUUUCAGGUUAUGAUGUUUGGUCUUCAAAGGAAAAGUAACAAGGAGAAGCACCCACGACUUUCUGUCUCUCAAACCUCCUUUAACUAUGCUUUGAAUACUUUUGAUGAGUUUGUUGAUGUGCAGGAGAAACCAAACAGGUGGAGCAAAGAGCAUGUCAAUACAUCCAAAGGUGAAUCUGAUCCAAGAAGGCGAUUGCUUCAGUUUGAUGUCCAACAAUUUGUGAUAACUUUGUGAAGGGUGUGGACAAAGCCCUCAAGGACGUCAGCAAGAGCCAAAAGAAGAGCACAUCCACACGUGCCCCAGUAGCUGAGCCAUCCUUGUUCAUCAGUAAGAAAGCCCAAGGUGAAUCUGAAAACCAUUUUGAAGAACUUAAAGAUUUUUCAGAUUCUCUACCCAUUUUUGAUGAAUCUGAUGAAGAGCUAAUUGAAAGCUUGAUGUUUUGUGAAAAAGAUUGUGAUCUUCCUUCUCUUGAAACUGAGUUUAAUCUUGAUAAUGAACAAGCUAUUGUAGAACUAACUGUUUUGCAACCGGAGCUUCCGAGUAGUCUUGUUUUGUCUCCACAGGUUUUUGAGGAAGAGCCACUGGAUUUUCCACAUCAGUGCCCAUGUCUUGACACUAGGAAAUGUUUAGAUGAUGAUCUAGGUCCUAUCUUUGAUGAGGAGGACGAACCUGAUCCAGUCUUUGAUGAAGAAGCAACAAGCAUCACAUCCAUUGCUAUGGAGAAUUAUCUAUGCUUUGAUCCCGGCACAACUCCUGCCCCUUUACCUCCUGAUCUUCAAGAGCACUGUGAGGAACCUUCUUCUCUUUAUUCUCUGCCUGACAUGUUUGUGAAAGUCAGUACUGAUGAUAUAAUUCGUUUUGGUCUUGACAAGAUAAAAGAUUUUUGUGUUUCAAAAUCUGUUUUUGAUAACAUGAUUAAUUCUUUAAAAAUCUUUCAACCUGAUAAAUGUCUUGAUCAAUCAUGUUUUCAAAAUGUCAAUGCCAUCACUUCUGGAAUUAUUUGAGCUUUGAUCAGUUCGUGGAACAUAACAAAGGUUUUCAUCUUCUUGGAAGGCCAUUUGAUCUUGAUUUGCAACAAACUGAUUUUUGUGCUGAAAAAUCUCUUGAUUCGUUUGUUUGCAAAGGAAAUGGCUUUGAUCUGAGUUCUUCUAGACAUGUACUGAUUACUGAUAAAUUGUUUGCAUCCUCUUAUGCCUUGGACGAAAUUUUGAUUCAGAAGUUGCUGGAACAGAAAUCACUUGAAACUAAAAAUGAUUUUCGUGAUCUUGAAUUUUGUGGUUCUGUUUUGCAGCCUGAUCUCUUGAGUUUUGAAACUGAUAAUACUUGGCAUUUUCUGAGAUCAUUUCGUGAUAAUAGUGUUGUCUUGAGUUCUGAUGAUAUUUUGGUUUACAACACAUUCUUUGAGAAAUGCCUUGAACUUUUGAUAAAUGAUUCUCAAACUGAACUUAAGCUUGUGUGUUCAGAUGUUGGGAAGGAUAUGCCCAUUUUGAAAAUGAAUACUGUUGUUGCAUAUCUUGAUAAAAUUCUUGUCUGUAAUAUUUACUUUGAUGAGCACCUUGAAAGGCUGAAAAAUGUGCAAUUUGUUCUUGGAAAAGAUAUCUUGAUUUGUGAUUUGAACAAAUAUUUAUCUUGCACAUUUGAUCCUGGUCUUUUAGUGUUUGUUUUGAGUAUCCAGGAAAGACAAGUUCAGCCUCUGAAUGAAAGCAUUGGCCGUGCCCAACAACCUCAGAUUUGGAGAAGCUUUGUUGUUCAAACCGGCUACCUUGGUGCCAGCGACAGAGGUUCAGUCCAAGAAUGAUAUCUCAACAGUCCGAAGGUCUUUUGUCUUGAAUCCAAUUUUACAAGAAAGCCAACUCAUCAAGGAUUCACUGAGGCUUGGAAUCGCAUGAAAAUCUUCACGGAUGAAGAAGUUAUGAAUUUUCCAAACCGGAGGUUCUUCAGUCCAUCUAUGCGUGAGUACCAGAUUUCUAAAAGAGAUUCAUGCCCCAGAAAGAAUCGGCCUGAGCCAAAACCGAUCCUCCAUGAACCAAAGGUGUUUCCUCAGUCAUCCUCCUGUCUAAACCAAAAGCACUGUAAGGAUCAUGAGUUGAUUGCCUCUACUCUUCAUGAAAAUGUUUUGAAACCGAGAAUUUCAAAAAGAAAACAUAUUCUUACUUGGUUGAAAAACGUUUUGCUCAAACCUUUUCAUGAAUUGAUUUCAUUGAGCUGUGCUUUGAAAGAGAUUUGGUGCAGGAAAAAGCAUGAACUAAAAUUGUUUAGGCCAAAGAAUUCUUUUGAUUUCGUUCAUGAUGAUAAUUUUUCAAAUUUGGCAUUGUCUCUUUCUUUCCAUAACAGUUUCUCCCCUUGGCCUGAUUUUGAGAUUGAUAAAUCAAUUUUUUGCAACCAGCUUACUUGCUUGAUGCUUGCCCACGUCCUUGAUGAUUAUCCUAAGGGCUUGGAUCCUGAUUUUGAUGUCUUAAGGAUAGAGAAACCCUUUGAUUAUUUCUUUGGCAGAUUUGAUGUGGUUUCUCUAGUUGCUUUGAAUAAACAGGAUAAGCAUGAUCAGUUUCUAAGGAGAGCAAGCACCAAUGGUCGCCAAAGUACUUGGAAUUCCUUGAUGAAAAUGACUUCAAAACUCCAUGGAAGUUUCUGUCCAUAUUUUUCAUUCCCUGAAUUUUCCAUGAAUUAUAAUUCCUUUGUAUCUGAUUCAUCUCUUUUUGAUAUAGGUACUUUGGAUUUGAGGACAAAUCCUUUUGAAGAAGGAGGGAAUGAUAGACCGCGGUCCACGGAUCAGUACAUGGAGCCGAACCAGCAUGAAGAUCAGGACGUUCUGAAGUUUUCAACCGAGGUUCAUGAUUUUCACCAUACUGGCCAGACUGACCGGACUGUCCCAAAUGCAUCCGGAUGGGAGCUUAGGCUGGAACCAUGGCCAGAUGAUCGAUUUCACUGUACUGGACUUUGUCUUCACCGUCCUGUUUUCCAUUUUAUGAAGAACAGUCGAGACGGAAUCGCAUUCGGACGCACGAAUCCUGAGUUAGGUCAUUGCUAUACAUUUCUGGACAGUACCGCAUGUACCGCCCGGAUGUCCAGUUUGAGGCUUCAUCAAUACCCAUGUCCAGACGAUCGAAUUCACCGAACUGGAGCUCGUAUUUCCCGUACUGAUUGGCAUUUUAAGAGCAACGGUCAAGACAGAUUUGGAUUCGGACGAGUGGAACUCAAGAUAGGCCAUGACACUUCAAAACUGGCUACUUUGGACUGUCCUGCUUGUGUACUGGCCCAGUCCGCAGGACAUGCUUCAGGAUACAAUGAACCUGGACGGAAUUUGAAGGGGUUUUCGCCAGUCAAAGUGUGAUUUCGUGCCUUGACCAGAUCUGGUCAAUUUUAUCAUUUUCUAUGUUUAGAUUUCCCACAUUUUUCUUUAAGUCUUUUGACUAGAACUUCUAUAUAAUGUAACCAUCAGAUCUGAAUAAGACAAUUUCGUUUUUGCUUUCAUUCUUUUGAGUUUUACUCUCUUUGUUCUUUGUUAGAACAUUUCUUAGUUUCUUGGUGAGGUUAUCUCCAAGUUUCGAUCCUUCUUUUGUUGGACCGGUGCGUCACAUCCGGCAACGAUUGAAGUCUGGUAGUAUCAUUGGGUCAUCCGCAACCCUUUGUGUCACCGUUCAUACCAUCAGUUCUCUUUCCUUACGGAUCGAGUUCAUAUCUUUCCAAUCCGGUUGAGUGUUCGUUCCUUAGGGUUCUUCAAGUGGUAUCAGAGCUCUGAAAGAAGUGGUAUCAGAGCCACUCUCUCGGUAACUCUAUUAUCAUUCCAUCUUCUCAUCUCUCCAUCUUCUUCAAACACUUCUUCUUCUACCUUUCUUAAAUCCGGGCCCCUCAUUACCAUCCAUAUAUAUAUAUAAAAAAAAAGAUUUACGAUUUGAUUCAAAAAAAAAAAAAAAAAAAAAAAAAAGAAAAAGUUCAAAGUUUGUUUUGUGGAUUGGUGGUGGAAGAGAAAGCCUGCUGGCUGAGGAGAAAUCCAGCCUUUGAGGUGGUUAAAACGGAUUUCAAAAAUCAAAAUCUCUUAUCUUUCUAUCUUGAGAAAAUUCCCUUGUUUGCUUGGAUUUGCCCAUUGGGAUUCUUUGAUUUGUUCUCUUAGAACAUUGAGUAGAAACUUGUGUGUGAUCACCUAAAUCUGAGAGAAACACUUGAGUGGGUGAGAAUAAAACACUUGAGAGAGUGAGGCUUUAUUUCCUAACUUUUGUGUUGAGAUUUUCAGGUUAUGAUGUUUGGUCUUCAAAGGAAAAGUAACAAGGAGAAGCACCCACGACUUUCUGUCUCUCAAACCUCCUUUAAAUAUGCUUUGAAUACUUUUGAUGAGUUUGUUGAUGUGCAGGAGAAACCAAACAGGUGGAGCAAAGAGCAUGUCAAUACAUCCAAAGGUGAAUCUGAUCCAAAAAGGCAACCCUUUCAAAUUGAUGUCCAACAAAUUUGUGAUAACCUUGUGAAGGGAGUGGACAAAGCCCUUAAGGACUUCAGCAAGAGCCAAAAGAAGAGCACAUCUACACGUGCCCCAGUAGCUGAGCCAUCCUUGUUCAUCAGUAAGAAAGCCCAAGGUGAAUCUGAAAACCAUUUUGAAGAACUUAAAGAUUUUUCAGAUUCUCUACCCAUUUUUGAUGAAUCUGAUGAAGAGCUAAUUGAAAGCUUGAUGUUUUGUGAAAAAUAUUGUGAUCUUCCUUCUCUUGAAACUGAGUUUAAUCUUGAUAAUGAACAAGCUAUUGUAGAACUAACUGUUUUGCAACCGGAGCUUCCGAGUAGUCUUGUUUUGUCUCCACAGGUUUUUGAGGAAGAGCCACUGGAUUUUCCACAUCAGUGCCCAUGUCUUGACACUAGGAUAUGUUUGGAUGAUGAUCUAGGUCCUAUCUUUGAUGAGGAGGACGAACCUGGUCCAGUCUUUGAUGAAGAAGCAACAACCAUCACAUCCAUUGCUAUGGAGAAUUAUCUAUGCUUUGAUCCCGGCACAACUCCUGCCCCUUUACCUUCGGAUCUUCAAGAGCACUGUGAGGAACCUUCUUCUCUUAAUUCUCUGCCUGACAUGUUUGUGAAAGUCAGUACUGAUGAUGUAAUUCGUUUUGGUCUUGACAAGAUGAAAGAUUUUUUUGUUUCAAAAUCUGUUUUUGAUAACAUGAUUAAUUCUUUAAAAAUCUUUGAACCUGAUAAAUGUCUAGAUCAAUUACGUUUUCAAAGUGUCAAUGGCAUCACUUCUGGAAUUAUUUUGAGCUUUGAUCAGUUCUUGGAACAUAACAAAGGUUUUCAUCUUCUUGGAAGGCCAUUUGAUCUUGAUUUGCAACAAACUGAUUUUUGUGCUGAAAAAUCUCUUGAUUCGUUAGUUUGCAAAAGAAAUAGCUUUGAUCUGAGUUCUUCUAGACAUGUACUGAUCACUGAUGAAUUGUUUGCAUCCUCUUAUGCCUUGGACGAAAUUUUGAUUCAGAAGUUGCUGGAACAGAAAUCACUUGAAACUGAAAAUGAUUUUCGUGAUCUUGAAAUUUGUGGUUCUGUUUUGCAGCUUGAUCUCUUGAGUUUUGAAACUGAUAAUACUUGGCAUUUUCUGAGAUCAUUUCGUGAUAAUGGUGUUGUCUUGAGUUCUGAUGAUAUUUUGGUUUACAACACAUUCUUUGAGAAAUGCCUUGAACUUUUGAUAAAUGAUUCUCAAACUGAACUUAAGCUUGUGUGUUCAGAUGUUGGGAAGGAUAUGCCCAUUUUGAAAAUGAAUACUGUUGUUGCAUAUCUUGAUAAAAUUCUUGUCUGUAAUAUUUACUUUUAUGAGCACCUUGAAAGGCUGAAAAAUGUGCAAUUUGUUCUUGGAAAAGAUAUCUUGAUUUGUGAUUUGAACAAAUAUUUAUCUUGCACAUUUGAUCCUGGUCUUUUAGUGUUUGUUUUGAGUAUCCAGGAAAGACAGGUUCAGCCUCUGAAUGAAAGCAUUGGCCGUGCCCAACAACCUCAGAUUUGGAGAAGCUUUGUUGUUCAAACCGGCUACCUUGGUGCCAGCGAUAGAGGUUCAGUCCAAGAAGGAUAUCUCAACAGUCCGAAGGUCUUUUGUCUUGAAUCCAAUUUUACAAGAAAGCCAACUCAUCAAGGAUUCACUGAGGCUUGGAAUCGCAUGAAAAGCUUCACGGAUAAAGAAGUUAUGAAUUUUCCAAACCGGAAGUUCUUCAGUACAACUAUCCGCGAGUACCAGAUUUCUAAAGGAGAUUCAUGCCCCAGAAAGAAUCGACCUGAGCCAAAAUCGAUCCUCAAUGAACCAAAGGUGUUUCCUCAGUCAACCUCCUGGCCAAAACAAAAGCACUGUAAGGAUCAUGGGUUGAUUAUCUCUGCUCAUCAUGAAAAUGUUUUGAAACCGAGAAUUUCUAAACGAAAUCACAUCUUUACUUGGUUGAAAAACGUUUUGUUUAAACCUUUCCAUGAAUUGUGUUCAUUGAGCUGUGCUUUGAAAGAGAUUUGGUUUAGGAAAAGGCAUGAACCAAAAUUGCUUAGACCAAAGAAUCAAUUUGAUUUCAUUCAUGAUAAGAAUUUUUCAGAUUUGGCAUUGUCUCUUUCUUUUCCUGACCGUUUCUCAGCUUGGCCUAAUUUUAAAAUUGAUAAACCAAUUUUUGGUGAUCAGUUUACUUGUUUGAUGCUUGCCCACGUGCUUGAUGAUUAUCCUAAGGGCUUGGAUCCUGAUCUUGGUGUCCUAAAGAUAGAGAAACCUUUUGAUUAUUUCUUUCGCAGAUUUGAUGUGGUUUCUCUAGUUAUUUUGAAUGAACAGGUUAAGCAUGAUCAGUUUCCAAGGAGAGCAAGCGCUGGAGAACGCCUAAGGACUUAUGUUCCUCAAACAUGGAACUGGAAAUACUUGAGGGAAACAAGUUCAAAACUCCAAGGAAGUUUCUGUCCAAAAUUUUCCUUCUCUGAAUUUUACAUGAUUUUAAACUUCUUUUUGUCUGAUUCAUUUUCUUUUGAUUCAGGUAAAAUUGAUUUGAGGUCAAAUCCUUUUGAAGAGGGAGGGAAUGAUGUGCCAUGGAGUAGCGCACCGGGCAAAACAGACAUGCAUGGUUUGAUCAUUGGAAGCAGUAAUGAUAUAUGUUCAUUGUUUGACUCAUAUCUUCUAAACCACGAGGCUUCUACACAUGAAAUCACUUGGAGAAUGUUCUCAACUCAAUUACGGAGCUCCUCGAAGAAGAAUCAGAUCAAACGGAGUUCAUAUGUGAUAGUUAUGCUAUUUACAAAUCAAGUGAUCUUUAGUUCUCGCGAAUUCAGACCACCCGAGAAGCUCGAAAUGGCUAACCUUCUUUCUGAUGAACCAACGGCCAAUUCAAUCAUGACAAAGGUGAUUAUUCAUGUUCUAAAUAUCCAAGAAAGCAUUGGGCUUGAUGGUUUUCAAAAAGAUUCAAAAACGAGCUUGUUUGGCCCAAAUGGAGAAACCGAUAAAAUAUUGGCUAAGGGAAAAGAUGGAUUUCGACCAGACCUCAAAGGGACAUGUCUUGGCCCAUAUCAGGAGUAUAUUCUUCACCUUUCAAAGUCCUGGUCGUGGCUAUAUGAAGAGGUAGUCUAAGUUUCAGUCAAAUACUUUAUUUAGUCAAGUCUUUGUUUCUAUUUCCAAUGUCUUGUUUUUAGCACAUUCUUCUUUGGAUCUCUACAACUUGUAAUCCUAUAAAUAAGGCCUUAGAGCAACGAAAUAAACCAGAUUGUUUUCCCCUUUUGUUGAGUUAAAACUCUUUGUUCUUUGUAGAACUUGUUCUUAGUUUCUUGGUGAGGUUAUCUCCAAGUUUCCAUCCUUCUUUUGUUGGACCGGUGCGUCACAUCCGGCAACGAUCGAAGUCUGGUAGUAUCUUUGGGCUAUUCCGCAACCCUUAGUGUCACCCCUCGAUCCAUCAGUUCUCAAUCCUCUCGGAUCUGAGUUCAUAUCAACCUUACCGAAAGAGUGAUCCUUAUUUUGGUUCUAUCAAGUGCCGUUUGCAUGGAAGAUCCGUGGUCAAUGAUGUGCCGCAGACCACGGAUCAUUACAUGGAACCAGCUCAGCAUGGAGUUCAGGACGUUCUGAACAUUUCAACCGAGGUUCAUCUUUUUCACCGUGCCAUACUUGACUUGGGUCGAGCCAGACUUAGCUUGGGUGGUGAAAAAACCAAAGACGGACAUGCAUUCUCAUCCGGCGGACCAUCCGGACAGUCCCGCAAGCGUCCUUAUCUUUAUCCCGUGCAUCCAUCUGGUUCGGAUGAAUCUAGACAUCUUGACUGGUCUUCUCCAUUUUCCGUGCCUUGACCAGAUCUAGUCUUCUCUAUUUUCCGUGCCUUGACCAGAUCUAGUCUUCUCUAUUUUCCGUGCCUUGACUUGAUCUAGUCAAAUUUAUAUUUCCUAUGCAUUGUUUUCCCACAUUUUCUUUUAUUGUCUUUGACUACAAAACACUAUAAAUAUGUAGUCCCUUUGAUGAAUAAAAUCAGUUCAUUUUGGUUGUUUAUUUCGUUUCUUCUCUGAGUGAGAGAGAGAGAGUUCUUAGCUAGUUCAUCGGUUUGAACCGGCUUGUUGAUUUGGUGGUCAGCCAAUCAUCUUUGUGUGUCGUUUGGUGGUUAGCCAACACACUACAUUCGUUCUUAGGUGGUUAGCCUUAGAUCGUGGGUAUAUCAAGAGCCAUUCCGCAUCUCUUGACGAUCCUUUCAAUCCAUCUCAGUUCCAGAAGCGCCAUUUGCUUCUCGGUUCAUAUCCAACACCCAGCUAAAGUGAUCCUUUCCGAUUUUGGUUCUAUCAAGUGGUAUCAGAGCCACUUUGGCUGGUUUGUUUUCUUUCAUCUUCUCAUCUCUCCACGUUUUUCUUUUCUUAUUUCUUGGAUCCGGGCUGUUCCUUUACUCCCUUGUGAUCGCCUAUUAUAAAAAAAAAAAAAAUCGAUAAAAAAGAAAAAAAAAAGUUUUGGCUUGAAUCACCUUCUGAAGAGAAAUCCAGGGGGAGUGGUGGAAGAGAAAUCCUGCUGGCUGAAGAGAAACCCAGCCUUUGGACAGUUAAGGCGGAUCCAUUUCAAAAAUCUCUUCAUCUUUCUUUCUCUUUUCUUUUUCCCACAAAAGUUUGUUUUGGGUUUUGAUUGCUGAAUUUUGACUGCCUAUCAUCCUUUGAACCAGUGAAAGAACUCUGAGUGACCAUUUAAAAAUCGAGAGCUAAACACUUGAGAGUGUGAGGAUUUUUAUUUUCUAACUUUGUUAAGUGUUUUCAGGAUGUUUGGACUUCUCAAGAAAUCAAAACCACAACAAGACGUCUACUUUCCUUUUAAAACUGUUUUUGAAAAGGAGCAAUUGAUUUUUGAUAAGAAACAGUUUGCUUCUAAUGAGUUUGACUUUGUGCAGAAACAAAAGAAGAGACAAAACAGGUGUGAUGAUGAGAAGUGGGCCAGAAGUCGUGAUCGUCCCUUCACCAAAGCCAAGAGAAGCAACUGUGAUGUGCCUGAUCAGAAUGAGCUUCAGAAUUAUGCCAGCUUGGAAAAGAUGUUGCAUAAGGCGAUUCAUGUUGUCCGGCAACUCAAAAAGAAGGGAAACAGCAACACUUCUUCUGCACCAAAACAACAAAGUAAUUCUUCUUCUAUUUCAAAUUCUGAUUUGAAAACUAAUGUGUUGUCUUUUGAUAAAAGCAAGGCUGUGAAAACCACAAGCAAGGCUCUUUCUACCAGGUGUUUCAAAUGCCAUAAGGUCGGUCAUUAUGCCAACAAGUGCCAAAAACAGAAAACGUUGGUGACAUUGGAGAAAGUUGAAACCGAGCCAGAAAAGGAAGACGUUUUACCAAUUUUCGAUGACUAUGCACAUGAACCAAAGGAAGGGUCAGGUGGAGAGCAAAAUUGUGGUCAUAGAGAAGGAUCUUGUUCCAUUCACAAUCCGGACCAAACUCAAGGUGAACAACGUUCUGAUUAUGGUUCUUUUGCUUAUAAUCCUUUUCCUUUUAAUGUUUCAGAUUUGAGGACAAAUCUUUUUGAAGAGGAAGGGAAUGAUGUGCCGCAGACCACGGAUCAUUACAUGGAACCAGCUCAGCAUGGAGUUCAGGACGUUCUGAACAUUUCAACCGAGGUUCAUCUUUUUCACCGUGCCAUACUUGACUUGGGUCGAGCCAGACUUAGCUUGGGUGGUGAAAAAACCAAAGACGGACAUGCAUUCUCAUCCGGCGGACCAUCCGGACAGUCCCGCAAGCGUCCUUAUCUUUAUCCCGUGCAUCCAUCUGGUUCGGAUGAAUCUAGACAUCUUGACUGGUCUUCUCCAUUUUCCGUGCCUUGACCAGAUCUAGUCUUCUCUAUUUUCCGUGCCUUGACCAGAUCUAGUCUUCUCUAUUUUCCGUGCCUUGACUUGAUCUAGUCAAAUUUAUAUUUCCUAUGCAUUGUUUUCCCACAUUUUCUUUUAUUGUCUUUGACUACAAAACACUAUAAAUAUGUAGUCCCUUUGAUGAAUAAAAUCAGUUCAUUUUGGUUGUUUAUUUCGUUUCUUCUCUGAGUGAGAGAGAGAGAGUUCUUAGCUAGUUCAUCGGUUUGAACCGGCUUGUUGAUUUGGUGGUCAGCCAAUCAUCUUUGUAUGUCGUUUGGUGGUUAGCCAACACACUACAUUCGUUCUUAGGUGGUUAGCCUUAGAUCGUGGGUAUAUCAAGAGCCAUUCCGCAUCUCUUGACGAUCCUUUCAAUCCAUCUCAGUUCCAGAAGCGCCAUUUGCUUCUCGGUUCAUAUCCAACACCCAGCUAAAGUGAUCCUUUCCGAUUUUGGUUCUAUCUAUCUUAGGGUUCUUCAGUUGGUAUCAGAGCCACUUUGGCUGGUUUGUUAUCAUUCUCUUAUCAUCUUCUCAUAUCUUCAUCAUUCUAUUUUCUUAUUGUUUUUUUGGAUCCGGGCUGUUCCUUUACUCCCUUGUGAUCGCCAGUUAUUAAAAAAAAAAAUAAGGAUCACUCUUUCGGUAAGGUUGAUAUGAACUCAGAUCCGAGAGGAUUGAGAACUGAUGGUAUUAACGGUGACACUAAGGGUUGCGGAAUAGCCCAAAGAUACUACCAGACUUCGAUCGUUGCCGGAUGUGACGCACCGGUCCAACAAAAGAAGGAUCGAAACUUGGAGAUAACGUCACCAAGAAACUAAGAAAUGUUCUAACAAAGAACAAAGAGUUUUAACUCAACAAAAGGGGAAAACAAUCUGCUUUAUUUCGUGGCUCUAAGGCCUUAUUUAUAGGAUUACAAGUUGUAGAGAUCCAAAGAAGAAUGUGCUAAAAACAAGACAUUGGAAAUAGAAACAAAGACUUGACUAAAUAAAGUCUUUGACUGAAACUUGGACUACUUCUUCAUAUAGCCACGACCAGGACUUUGAAAGGUGAAGAAUAUACUCCUGAUAUGGGCCAAGACAUGUCCCUUUGAGGUCUGGUCGAAAUCCAUCUUUUCCCUUAGCCAAUAUUUUAUCGGUUUCUCCAUUUGGGCCAAACAAGCUCGUUUUUGAAUCUUUUUGAAAACCAUCAAGCCCAAUGCUUUCUUGGACAUUUAGAACAUGAAUAAUCACCUUUGUCAUGAUUGAAUUGGCUGUUGGUUCAUCAGAAAGAAGGUUAGCCAUUUCGAGCUUCUCGGGUGGUCUGAAUUCGCAAGAACUAAAGAUCACUUGAUUUGUAAAUAGCAUAACUAUCACAUAUGAACUCCGUUUGAUCUGAUUCUUCUUCGAGGAGCUCCGUAAUUGAGUUGAUAACAUUCUACAAGUGAUUUCAUGUGUAGAAGCCUCGUGGUUUAGAAGAUAUGAGUCAAACAAUGAACAUAUAUCAUUACUGCUUCCAAUGAUCAAACCAUGCAUGUCUGUUUUGCCCGGUGCGCUACUCCAUGGCACAUCAUUCUCUCCCUCUUCAAAAGGAUUUGACCUCAAAUCAAUUUUACCUGAAUCAAAAUAAAAUGAAUCAGACAAAAAGAAUUUUAAAAUCAUGUAAAAUUCAGAGAAGGAAAAUUUUGGACAGAAACUUCCUUGGAGUUUUGAACUUGUUUCCCUCAAGUAUUUCCAGUUCCAUGUUCGAAGAACAUAAGUCCUUAGGCGUUCUCCAGCGCUUGCUCUCCUUGGAAACUGAUCAUGCUUAACCUGUUCAUUCAAAAUAACUCGAGAAACCACAUCAAAUCUGCGAAAGAAAUAAUCAAAGGGUUUCUCUAUCUUUAGGACAUCAAGAUCAGGAUCUAAGCCCUUAGGAUAAUCAUCAAGCACGUGGGCAAGCAUCAAACAAGUAAACUGAUCACCAAAAAUUGGUUUAUCAAUUUUAAAAUUAGGCCAAGCUGAUCACCAAGCCGUUUGCCUUCUCGGAUCAUAUCCAACACCCAGCUAAAGUGAUCCUCCCUAUCUUAGGGUUCUUCAGUUGGUAUCAGAGCCACUUUGGCUGGUUUGUUUUCAUUUCAUCUUUUCAUCUUCUCAUCUCUCCACGAUUUUAUUUUCUUAUUUCUUGUUGGAUCCGGGCUGUUCCUUUACUCCCUUGUGAUCGCCAGUUAUUAAAAAAAAAAAAGAGAAAAAAAAAUUGAUCAAAAAAAAAAAAGAGUGAAAGUUUUGGCUUGAAUCACUUCUGAAGAGAAAUCCAGGGGGAGUGGUGGAAGAGAAACCCUGCUGGCUGAAGAGAAACCCAGCCUUAGGACAGUUAAGGCGGAUCCACACAAAAAUCUCUUCAUUGUUCUUUCUCUUUUCUUUUCCCACAAAGUUUGUUUUGGGUUUUGACUCCUGAUUUUUUACUGCCUAUCAUCCUUUGAACCAGUGAAAGAACUCUGAGUGACCAUCUAAAAAUCGUGAGCUAAACACUUGAGAGUGUGAGGAUUUUUAUUUGCUAACUUUUUUAAGUGUUUUCAGGAUGUUUGGACUUCUCAAGAAAUCAAAACCACAACAAGACGUCUACUUUCCUUUUAAAACUGUUUUCGAAAAGGAGCAAUUGAUUUUUGAUAAGAAACAGUUUGAUUCUAAUGGGUUUGACUUUGUGCAGAAACAAAAGAAGGGACAAAACAGGUGCGAUGAU
rnacentral:lncRNA from 1 species